CCGUAACGAUCAUCGCGCGGUUUACCGUAAGGCUGGACCCGCGCCACAGGCUAAGAACCCCUUCGCUCCUCGCCAUCUUCGUAAUCGCGUCGAUCACGUUCUUGUAGUCACGGCCGCCAGCCUGCAUCCGGACCAUGGCCACGUCGGCGGGGUUUCCGACGGCGGCACCAACUCCACCGGCGACGAGUCCAGCGAGAAUUUUUCGGGGCAGGGGUAGGUUUCCGGAGUUCGAGUCUGCCCAUCUGACUUUCAAAAUUUCGUAGAGGCCCAUUCGGGUGGUGGAGUAGAGAGUCUGGCGGAGGACGGUGGCGGAGACUCCAGAGAACAACGCCUUAACACCUUCGGUCUGAACAAUUUUGACUCCGACCGAGAUUGGACCGGCGCGUGCGGCGGCGGCCGGCGGAGGCGGGGCAACCAGGGUGGCAGAAUGGGAAUGAAAAGCAAAAGCAGGGCGGAG
rnacentral:lncRNA from 1 species